AGGACGAACGCUGGCGGCGUGCCUAACACAUGUAAGUCGAGCGGGGUUAACCGCAAGGUUAACCUAGCGGCGGACGGGUGAGUAACGCGUGGAUAACCUGCCUCAAGGGUCGGGAUAACAGCUCGAAAGGGCUGCUAAUACCGGAUGUGAUGCACUUUUCGCAUGGAGGGUGCAUGAAAGGGGAAACCCGCCUUGAGAUGGAUCCGCGUCCCAUCAGCUAGUUGGUAGGGUAAAGGCCUACCAAGGCGACGACGGGUAGCCGGCCUGAGAGGGUGACCGGCCACACUGGGACUGAGAUACGGCCCAGACUCCUACGGGGGGCAGCAGUGGGGAAUAUUGCACAAUGGGCGAAAGCCUGACGCAGCGACGCCGCGUGAGCGAAGAAGGCCUUCGGGUUGUAAAGCUCUGUCUGGAGGGACGAAAGAAAUGACGGUACCUCCGGAGGAAGCCACGGCUAACUACGUG
rnacentral:rRNA from 1 species